rnacentral:rRNA from 1 species
GACGAACGCUGGCGGCGUGCUUAACACAUGCAAGUCGAACGGAAAGGCCCUGCUUUUGUGGGGUGCUCGAGUGGCGAACGGGUGAGUAACACGUGAGUAGCCUGCCCUUGACUUUGAGAUAACUUCAGGAAACUGGGGCUAAUACCGGAUAGGAGCUCCUGCUGCAUGGUGGGGGUUGGAAAGUUUCGGCGGUUGGGGAUGGACUCGCGGAUUAUCAGCUUGUUGGUGGGGUAGUGGCUUACCAAGGCUUUGACGGGUAGCCGGCCUGAGAGGGUGACCGGCCACAUUGGGACUGAGAUACGGCCCAGACUCCUACGGGAGGCAGCAGUGGGGAAUAUUGCACAAUGGGCGGAAGCCUGAUGCAGCAACGCCGCGUGCGGGAUGACGGCCUUCGGGUUGUAAACCGCUUUCGCCUGUGACGAAGCGUGAGUGACGGUAAUGGGUAAAGAAGCACCGGCUAACUACGUG